AGAUUUAAUGUACAUGUAUAACUAAUUAUUCUUAGUUUGUCGUUUAUUGCCCCAUAAUAAGAGUUAUAUAAAAAUAUUAAGUAGAUUUUAAUUUCAUCUUUGAAAUCUACAGACAUUUCAAAAGUUGACUGAAAGGCGUGUAAAUUAGGCGAAGUAGUGUUGAGGACAUGUUAAGUUUAACUGUUAUACAGCAGGCAAAACGUCUACAUCACUCAAGCACCAGGUUUGUCAAAAAAGUUAUUAUUUAAUAUUGAGGAAGAAGAACCAUAACUAUUGACACUGUAUAUAUGUGUUUUUUCUGUAAUUCAGAAAAUUUUGCACCAAAAGAUGGCAUUACUACGCUGCUCAGAAUUACUGUACAUGGUAUACCGUAGCAUGGGUUGUUUGGUGCAUUCUGCCGGAAACCAUGUAAAGCUGGGUAUGACUGCACGUCACCAGAUGAAUGUACCCCGAACCCCAAUUCUAUAGCCUCUAUAAGUAAUGGCAACAGCAAUGGCACUGUUAACAACAUCAUUACUAACAGUACUGAAUCCAAAGUAGAGGUCAACUAGCUCCUUUCCAGAAACCAAAAACUAUAAGAGGGACUAAAGAUAUAUCAAAAGAUUAACACUUGUCCUGCUACUUGUCACAUCCGGAUGUCAAU